rnacentral:lncRNA from 1 species
CCCCCUUACUUACAUUCCCUAUCAAAAUAUGUUCGUUGUUAGUAAUAAACUUCAAAGAACUUCGGAAAGAAAUGCCUUCAACAGCAAUAUGCUGGCGAUACAAAACUAUCCAUACCCCCUGCAUGUUUAUGCACCUGUCCUGAUUGAUUCAGGGGCCUGUCGUUCAGCAGUUAGAUAUCGUUGGUUGAUGUUCAUAAAUAUUAUUUGGUAUUUUCCCGUUUGUAUAUAAUAUAUAAAUUAGAUCGUUGUUUUUCCUGUUCGAAUUGUGUACACUUCUAAUUUUGGGGUCCCUUAUAGCUUGCUGUUUGAUCUGGGUCAAAGCCCUGCCGUACGUACUAUGACCUGUAUUUGCUAUUAUCCCUCAGACAGAGCACAUAUGGGGUCAUUUUACUGUUGUAAAAAGAAAAAAGAAAUGCCAAGGAUUUGCAUAGUGUUACUAUACAAAUCCUUUGAAGAACUUAAAAAAAUUUACUUAAAAAGAGGAGAAAUACAUCAUAUUUUAAACAACAAAUUACUAUUCUUAAAGAGGGGCCC